rnacentral:lncRNA from 1 species
CUGAAGAAAGGUACUUAGACAUGUUCCCCACAGGAUGUGUUAAGGUGUUGGCCAAUCAUCAAAUAUUGUCACUCCAAAGAACACAUUUAACAGCCGGGAAGAAAAUUGUAGGAAAAGAGAGCACUUUGGCACGGAAGGGGUCUAUCGCCCUGGUUGGAGUGCAGCAGUGUAAUCAUAGCUCACUGCUGCCAUGAACUUCUGGGCUCAAGCGAUCCUCCCACCUCAGCCUCCCUGUGUGCUGGGAUUAAAAGUGUGAGCCACCGUGCCUCAUCGUAAGGGUCUUAAAAGAAACCCUAUUUCAUACUUUCUUGAUGCACUUGAUAUGGAUUAUAUAAAUCUAUGGACAAAAAUGACAUCAGUACAAUGGAAUAUUGGAGUUUUCUACCAUAAUCUCUGCAUAGUGCACUGAUUUUGACAAUCACCUAUGGAUGAAAAUACAUUUGCCAGAGUCUAGGAGUUAAAUGGAAAAGUUAACAGCACACCGUUGGAGAAAAAUAUCUGGGAGUAGAUGCAUUCAAGGGAGUAAGAAGAACAAUUACCUGCAUCACCUCACCCCCAGGGUCCACUUCUUAGUGCCAAGAUAGACUCCCUUCAGCAGGCAAUUUCUCCCAUGGGGAAAAGGAGAGUAUAAUGAGUGAGUAUCCAGCUUUUCCAGCUGUGUGAGGCACAUCCCAAGAAGCCCAUCUUUCUUUCACUCAACUCAGAAUAUUGAGGGUAUUAGCAUGGCUAAGUGGCUGGGACAGGGCAGUAGCAGGAAAGAAAGGAGAGGACUCACAGCAACCAGGACUUGAAACUCAGUACAGGGUACAUAUCCUUUGAAGCAUUUCACAGAGCCCAUCAGGAGGCCCACCCAUGAACCACUUGGGACACCAUAUCUGUAGCAUCUCCCUGCAACUGGCCCAUAGGAGCCCCCGAUGUUUUGUGCAUAUUCCCCUUCCCUUUCUCCUAUAGUCAGUUGCCUGCACAUGCACUCCAGAUGGUGAGUGUGAGCAUUUACCUACAGCUUUUGAGUACAUGCAGUCAGCAGGCUCAACUUUGAAGGAUUGGGAGGAAUACAAAAUUGAGCAUUUCAGGGCACUGUCCUAGAGGAAACAAACAGAAAGCUUUCAGGACCCAGUUUGGUUUUGUGGAUUUAAGAGAAGACACACAAUCAUCAGAAUUUCUUCUCCACCCAUCCAAGAAGUGUGGAUUGGGUGAAUCCAUAGAAAAGAUCUGAGAGAGCCUCAGAUUCCCUAUAGGCUCACUGUUGAAGAUAUUUCUCUCAAAUCCAGUCAGUAAAGACUAGAGAAAGUGACUCUUUCUUCAAAUGUGAAGACAGCAGUGCAAGACUUUGAGGAACAUGAAAAAUCAAGGACACCUAGUACCACCAAAGGAACAUAAUUUUCUGGUACCCAACCACAAAGAAAUGGAGAUACACAAAUUGUCUGACAAAGAAUUCACAACAAUUGUUUUAAGGAAGUCAGUAAGCUACAAGAGAACACAGAGAACUUAAUGAUAUUAAGAAAGCGACACAUGAACAAAAUAAGAUGUUCAACAAAAAGAUAGAAAUUAUUAAAAACAACCAUGAUUUUCGAGCUGAGAAUACAAUGAAUGAAAUGGAAAACACAAUAGAGUUUCAAUAGCAGACUUGAUCAAGCAGAAGAAAGGGUCUGUCAACUCAAAUACUAGUCAUUUGAAAUUAUUCAGUAAAAGAAAUAAAAAGGAAUGAAAAAUGCUUAUGCGAUUGAUGCAACACCAUGAAGAGUAGUCAUAUAUGCACUAUGGGAGUCUCAGAAAAAGAAAGAGAUAAAGGGGAAGAAAACUAACUUAAAGAACUAGAUCAGUCUCUCCUUAUCUGUAGUUUUGCUUUCCUUGGUUUCAGGUACAGUACAAUGAUAUGUUUUAAGAGACAGACAAUGAAAGAGAACAUGCAAAUAUUGACAUAAUUUUUAUUACAGUAUAUUGUCAUAGUUUUUCUAUUUUGUUAUUAGUUGUUAUUCUCUUACUGUGCCUAAUUUAUACAUUAAACUUUAUCAUAGGAAUAGUGGUGGUGGCCUGUCUGGAGUGGCCACUGCCAGGAUGCCAGCUGCAGCAGGGGAGGUGUAGCUGGGGCUGUGCACUCCGCAGAGCUGGGGGGGGCCAGGAACAGGUGAUCCUAGUGGGAGCCCUAUAUGCUACUGAGUUAGUGGGGUGGGAGCCUGUGCUCCCAGGCAUAGCUGCAGCUGCCCAGCCAUGGCUCCAGCCCUAGGCAUACCUGUGCUCUCAGGGGCCCUGGAAGUCCCCUGCCCUUACAGGCUUGGAAGUGCCUGCUCCCAUUCCCUGGCCUCUUUCCACUGCUGGCACCUGCUCUGUGGCAGAGCAAAGUUGUGGAUGUGUUGUGAUAGCUGAGCCUGGGAGCUGUUGUGACGUGGUCAGGUGUGUGUGUUCAGGGCAGUUCUGAUACACCAGACUCCCCACUGCCUUUGCCCCCUCUGGAAACUGCUUCUGAGGCUGAAACUUUGGAUAUUAAUGAGCAAGGAUGGUGGGGGAGGCCAGGACGGCUGAGGGCAGCUAGGUGUGGGCCUGUGGACACCCCUUAGUGCGGACAGUCUGGGUGCUGUGGAUGGCAUGUUGAUGGCAGCGAGAGGCAGACAUGUUCCUAGGUGGGAACGGGUGGGUCCCUGGUGAAACCUCACCUUCAAGCCAGGGACAGCUUGAAGCAUGGGGGCCUGGCUGCCAGUUCCGGUUGCAGUCUGUGACCUGGAGUGAAAACUUCAUUGAUGUCUUUCAGCCAAUUGGAUGGUGCUUUUUCCAGACCCACAAAUGGCUGCCCAUGGACCAAGCAGUAUGUACUUCCUCCAUUCUGAGCCCAUGAAAACCCCAGACUCAGUCAGACUCUGACACUCAUCAGGAUGACAAGCCUGCAAAUAGGAUCUACCCAUUUUGGGUAUGCACUCCACUGAGAGCUAUUCUGUCACUCAAUAAAGCUCCUUUCUGCCUUGCUCACCCUCCAGUUAUUCACAUAACCUCAUUCUUCCUGGAUGUGGGACAAGAACUCAGGACCUGCUGAAUGGUGGGAGGGAAAGAAGCUGUAACAUGUUCCUGGCCAGCUCACCAAGCUGCAGGUGGUGACAUACUCCUGGACUAUGGGAGUGAAGAGUAGUGACCCUUCUGGGGGCCCAGACCUUGAGAUUCUCCGAGCCAGAGCUGCAGUAACACUAUAGCUCUCCUGCCCUCUGCUGGUGCUGGGUGGCCCCCCAAUGCAACAGGACGCAGCAGCAGGCCUGGGCCAGCCCAGGAGCUGGGAGCCUGAGUGGGGUGGUGGAACUGAAAGGGCUAUAACACAAACCAACCAAAACAUGCCCCACUCACUUGCUGCACUGUGGGUGAGGAGAAGGAGAAAAGAGCUGCAGCCCUUCUAGGAAGCCAGACUUUGGGGCUCCCUGAACUAGGGCUGUGACAUGCUGUAACACCUUCUUUAGGAUUCUGCACUUCCUGGCCUCUCUGAGAUUUUGGAUGCCACCGUGUUCCCUUUGUCCAGAUGCUGGUGUCCGCAGCAGAAGCCACUUGUGAUAUAUCUGGUCCAGCUGCAGCUUCACAUGGAUGAGGUGCCUGUGCCGGUGCCUGUGCCAGUGCCUGGAGCUGCCCGCCCCACCACAGCAGCUAGCAUGCCUGGCUGUGUGCAGUGCCAGAUCCCACACUUGCUCACUCACACACACCUCACCGCUCCAUGCCUGGCUUGCCCUUGGAAGGAGUACGAUCCAGGCCGGUAGCAUGAGCCAAGUGCAGCCUGCCAGCCUGAGUGGACAGAACAAGCCCAGGGGGCAUGAACAAAACUCAAGCAGAAGCACUGCUGUCCACAGAGGUUUCUGGCUGGCAAAGCAACACCCUAAGGAUCCUAUGACAAUAGGUAUAUAUGUAUAGGCAGAAACAUAGUAUAUAUUGGUUUUAGUACUAUCCAUGGUUUCAGGCAGCCACCAGGGGCUUGGAAUGUGUCCCUGUAGAUAAGGGAGGAGGAUUUUAAUAGCUGAAAACUUCUCCAAUCUUGGGGAAGAUAGGGGCAUUUGGGUACAUGAGGCUUAAAUGUGCCCAAAUAGGUUUGACUUAAAGAGGACUUCACUGAGACACAUUAUAAUCAAAUUGUCAAACAUCAAAGAUAAUUUUGAAAGCAGUAAGAGAAAAGAAACUCAUCACAUACAAAGAAACCCCAUUAGACUAUCAGAUUUCUAAGCAUGAAUCUUGCAGGCCAGGAGAGAGCGAGAUGACAUAUUUCAAGUGCUGAAAGAAGAAAGAAUUGUCAACCAAGAAUACUUUACCUUGCAAAACUAUCUUCCAGAAAUGAAGGAGAGAUAAAGACUUUGCCAGAUAAAGAAAAUAUGAGGGAUUUUAUCACCACUACAUAUGCCUUAUAAAAAAUGUUAGAGGGAGUUCUUCAAAUGGAAAAGUAAGGAUUCUAAUUAGUAACAUGAAAACAUAUGAAAGUGCAAAACUCACUGGUAAAGGUAGCAUAUAUUGUCAAGUUCAGAAUACUCUAAUGCUGUAAUGGUGGUGUAUAAACCACUUUUACUCUAGGAUAGAGGUGAAAAGACAAAAUUAUUAAAAAUAAUCACAAUAUGCUGGUGCGGUGGCUCACACCUGUAAUCCCAACACUUUGGGAGGCUGAGGCAGGCAAAUCAUGAGGUCAGAAGUUUGAGACCAGUCUGGCCAACAUAAUGAAACCCCAUCUCUAUUAAAAAUACAAAAAAUUAGCUGGAUGUGGUGGUGUGUGGCUGUAAUCCCAGCUACUUGGGAGGCUGAGGCAGGAGAAUGGCAUGAACCUGGGAGGCGGAGGUUGCGGUGAACUAAGAUCACCCCAUUGCACUCCAGCCUGGGCAACAGUGCAAGACUCCAUCUCAAAAAAAAAUUCACUAUAAUAAUUCGUUAAUGAAUAUACAAUAUUAAAAAAGUAAAUUAUGAUAUCCAAAACUUAAAAUGUGGAAUAGGGGAGUAAACAUGUAAAGUAUAUGCAAUCAAAGUUGAAAUCAGUUUAAAAUAGACUGUUAUAAAUAUAAGAUAUUUUCUGUAAGCCCCAUGGUAGCCACAAAGUAAAAACUUUAGUAGAUACAGAAUAAUUAAAGAUAAAGAUAAUAAAUUAAAGCAUGCCACUGCAGAAAAUCAUGAAAUUACAAAGGAAGAGCAAGAGAGGAAAAAAGGAACAAAAUAACUACAGAAGAGAAAACAAUUACCAAAGUGGCAAUAAUAAAUCCUAACGUAUCAAUAAUUACUUUAUAAAUGAACUAAAUUCUGUAAUCAAAAGACCUACAAUGGCAAAAUGGAUAAAAACAAACAAGUAAGAUUCAAUAAUAUGAUGUCUACAAGAGACUUGUUUUAGCUUUGAGGACACACAUAGGCUAAAAGUGAAGAGAUGGAAAAAAUAUAUUCCAUGCAAAUGGAAACUAAAAAAGAGCAGGAUGAGUAUCUGCUAUUUAUAUAACAUAAAAUAGAUUUUAAGUCAAAAACUGUGCAAAGAGACAAAGAUAUUUAUAAUAUAAUACAUAAUAUCUCUAUAAGCUUAUAAUCAUAUAUAAUGUAUAUUAUGUUAUAUAAUGUAUAUCCUUAUAUCUAAUAUAUAUCCUUAUAUCUUUAUAUUUAUUAUUAUAUAUGCCAUAUAUAACUGUAAAUAUAUGAUAUAUAUAAUUAUAAAUAUCUUUGUCUCUUUUUGCAGUUCGACUUAAAGUCUAUUUUAUCUUAUGUAAAUAACGGAUGUGUUUAUCUUAUUAUAUAUUUAUAUAAUAAGAAAGGGGUUAAUUCAUGAAAAGGAUAUAACAAUUGUAAAUAUAUAGGCAUCCAACAUCACAGCACCUAAAUAUAUCAAUCAAAUAUAAACUAGUCUGAAGGGAUAAAUAGAUAAUACAAUAAUAGUAUUUCAAGAUAAUAUGCAUGGUAGACCACAUAUAAUCUAUUGAAAUUGUAAAAAAUAAAGAAAAACACAAGAGGACUUCCUCAUAGUUACACAUUGGUGAAAAGAAAGUGUUCUAGUUACCACUCUUGUACAUUUGGUGGAUAUUCUCAAUGUCCUGCACUAUGCUAGGUCUUAAAGAAGUAUAAGACUUGCACAUGUAUCUUGAAAGAGUAGCUCAUUGCCCAGCAUAGAAAGAAAGAGGAGUAGAAAAUUUCAGGCAUGGAUAAAGGUGCAGAGGUGCAAAUAUAUAUACACUACUCAAUAGUAGGUAAGGGAGUAAUGGCAACUAACGUUAAGGAACAUUGUCUACCGUAUUGUGAAGGGUGACAAAGGUCAUGCGUACUAAUAUGAUGAUUAACUGUCUAUAGCAAGGCUAUGAGUAAAAUUUAAAUUAUAUGCAGCCUAGGUAUUGAAAUUUGACAACCAAUAUAAAUGAAUUCAUAUGUUUAUGAAACAUUCUUUAUUUCUUUUUAUCAAUGACCUAGUAGAUUCAGAAUCAAUUUUUCAGUGCUUUUCAAGAUAAUUUUGAUACGAUUGGAAAUAAAUAGUUCUAAAUAUUAAAAGAAAACCUGAAUUUUUGCAAUGUCCUUUCUAAAUUUAUAAACACAAAAUUUUCAUACUGCAGAGAUACUUGGGAAAAAAAAUAUUUGUUGUUUAUAUAUACUCACCCAGAAUCUACACAAUUACAAAUUUCCUUAAGUUUCUGACAGCAAAAAAGAACAUGAAUAACUAAAUACAGAGAAUCAUAAUUGGAACAUAUUCAAGAGGUGGAGAAUCUAUUUAAAACCGACAACUCAACAGAUGUAGUCUAGUCAAUGGUUAUAUUUGCAUAAGCAUGAAAGCCAAACAAACAUGUCUGAAAUCUCAUUGGUAAAACACUGUAUGAUUUAAAAAAUUUUGGGGGGGUUGUCAGAACUCCUUUUUAGAUUUAUUGCAUCCCCUCAACAGAAGAACCGACUGCCGAGAAAUUCAAAACACAUCCGUGAAAGCAGAAAAUUAUAAUGUGACAAGUGAAGAAUUGAAAUGGAUUCACCCUAAAAGCAGAGCCAAAUAUCAGCCAUUGUCAUGGGCCCCUAGGAGGACUGAGUCUGGUGAUGCACGAAUACCAGAAUGCAAGUGUGGUGCAAUGACAGCAAUAACACAUGUGUGCACCUUGAAGCCAGAGGGAUGGAAACCCCAGCCAAUGUCUCUUUCUCUUUUCAGCCAUGUAAAUUCCAAUCUUGAUCAAUAAGCAAUCCAGGUGUCAAUGAAAGUGGAAGGAAUACAUAUUCCUCCUCCCACAAAUCUUAAACAUUAAUAGCAGCAGGAUUCUCCUUUCACAGAAAAGCAUGAUUUUAAGGUUUUGGUCCCCACUGAACACAAAUUCCCAAGAUACAAAUAAAAGUACUUUGAUUUAUAGAUUAAUCCAGACAUUUUUAUGUUCUGUAGGCCUGACAUAUGCUUGACAGAAACCCCACAAGGUCAGAAAGUCCUGUUGUCUAAGAAAGAAUUUCUCUUCUGCUUUCUUGCUCAUUUUGGCCUGAGAGGAAGGUGAUACUACAGUUAGUUGUGGUCUUAAUAAAGAGCAUUGAAGUCAGAAUUCAUAAAUUUAGGCUUUUUUCUUUCUCAGGAAUUAUUGAAAAGAAUGGCUUACAAUUUUUUAAAAUUUAUUUUGGGAGAGAUAAUCAUAUUAUUUAGGGAGAGAGAUAGUUAUAUUAUUUUUCUGAAUCUCUCAAGCUUCACAUAACAGUGAAAGAUUCAUGAACCACUGAUUUAAAAAAGGUACAAAAGCAACAGUUUUUAAACCACCUGCUAUAUACUCAUUUGACAAUAUUAAGGGGCAAUGCUUCUGGUGUUUUCAAAGAAAUUGGAGUAGUGGGCAGGAGAGCUAUAAUUAAGGAGGAGCACUGCACUGGGAUUGGACCAAGGUUUUAUAUUAAGAACAACAUUCUGUUUUAUCCUAACUAGUGUAACUUAUUCAUUCCACAAACAUGUAUUGAAUAACUUCUGAAAAUAAGGCUCUUUUUGCCUUCAAUAAGAUCUCUGCAUGUAAAAGAAAAAUACUAGUACUAGUUAUACAAAAACUUUGAAAUAAUAUAUCAGCAGGAGGCAAAAUCAAAACAAAAUAAGGCCUGGUGUGGUGGCUCAUGCACUUUGGGAGACUGAGGUGGGAGAAUUGCCUUAGACCAGGAGUUUGAAACCAGCCUGGGCAACAUAGAGACCUUGUCUCUACAAAAAAUAAAUACACUAGCAGGGUGUGGUGGUGGAUGCCUGUAGUCCUAGCUACUUGGAAGGCUGAGGUGGGAGGAUCACUUGAGCCCAGAAGGUAGAGGCUGCAGUGAACUAUGAUCAUGCCUUUGCACUCAAGCCUGGGCAACAGAGCAAAACCCUAUCUUUAAGCAAACAAACAAACCAACAAAACAACAGGACCCCUGUCGUAUCUCUCCCCAUGAAUAAUAUAACAGGCAAUUUCUUGAAUAUUAAAACUGGUAUUCCUUAUAGAUUAUUACAGUGGCCUCACUUUAAACAGAAGAACCUGAAGCCCAAAAAGGUUUGCUUUCCAUAUGCUGGAUGAUGUGUGUGGAUUUUCAGUGUGUGUUUCAGAGUCUUAAAAGCUCAUGCUAGCUUGCUUAACAUACCUGCCAUAACUCAUGAUAUAGAACCCUAUGGAGAACUGUGUUGCAACAUGGAUGCAGUGCCUAUACUAAGGCACAUUGCCAAGCUGAAGACUGUCAGAGAGCAUCACUAACGGAGGGCCACUGUCAUAAGGACGCCUGGAAGAGUGAAGAAAGGCCUGAUUGAUCACAAGGUCCUAUCAAAUGUCAAAGCUGGCCCUGGCUGACCUCCCAUCUAUUCAGAGCUGCUUUGAUUUAAUCUCCAAACUGGCUGCUUCUCCAGGCUAGAAGAGAAUUGAAAAUUUCAAGAAGGCAAAGGUGAUGGAAGUGUCUUCAUGAGACCCUUGGGUAACAUAAAUUGGCAAAGAAUUGGAUGAUCUGGGUUCUAAGAUCUGGCCUUAAAACUAGCCAUCUAUUGACUGAGUUCCCAUCAUUUCUACCGCUUUCAUCAGUUCUUGUGCAGCAGAAUGAGGUCCCAGCAGGGUUUUCUCUCAUUGCUGCCUCCACCCUCUGCCUU